rnacentral:rRNA from 1 species
GCCCGGUUACAUUUCGAACCCGGAAGCUAAGCCUUACAGCGCCGAUGGUACUGCAGGGGGGACUCUGUGGGAGAGUAGGACGCCGCCGAAC